GAUAUUGCGACAAUGGGCGAAAGCCUGACGCAGCAACGCCCCGCUCGGGAGGACGGCCUUCGGGUUGUAAACCGCCUUUCGAGGGGAAGAGGAAGGACUGUACCCCCGGAAUCAGUCUCGUCUACCUACGUGCCAGCAGCCGCGGUAAAACGUAGGAGGCGAGCGUUAUCCGGAUUUACUGGGUGUAAAGCGCGUGCAGGCGGCCGUGCAAGUCGUGCGUGAAAGCGCCCGGCUCAACCGGGCGAGGUCGUGCGAAACUGCGGGGCUUGAGGCAGGUAGAGGCGUGUGGAAUUCCGGGUGUAGUGGUGAAAUGCGUAGAGAUCCGGAGGAACACCAGUGGCGAAGGCGGCACGCUGGGCCUGGCCUGACGCUCAGACGCGAAAGCAUGGGGAGCGAACGG
rnacentral:rRNA from 1 species